GAGGACUCAGCCAAGGGCUGUGGCUGGUUGUAGCCAUGGGAUCUCCAACUACCUGCGAGAGCAACCAGGAGAGACUUUGACAGCUCAGGUCAGCGAAAUACCUGCAGCUGCCGCUCGCCUUUCCCAAAAUA